AGAAGCUUCGACCAAGGUUCGACUCGAGCGCCAGCGAGAGAGCGUUGCCGCAGGCAACGACCCGUAGGGCGAAGCGCGCAGCGCUGAGUAAUCCUUCCCCCACCACCA
rnacentral:sRNA from 1 species